AGCAGGGAGCUCUACCCAGGGAAAAAGAAGAAAAAGACACAUUCAUUUGGGGCUCAGUCUGAUGUGCCCCCCCCCCCCCGGAUUCUGUGGCUAAGGUGAGGAUACUGAGGCCUGGCGAGGCUAACACCUGGCCUAGGCCAAACAGCAAAGGAGAGGAAAAGCUAGGAGUGGAAGCCAGUGCUCUCUGUCAUCUACCCCCCAGCUUCCCAGCCUGGCCCCGAGAAGGGGAGCAGCCAGCCUGCCCUGGGCCCCUCCGCAGCCAGACUCUGUGGCUGCCACGUUCAACCUCUCCCAACACGGCCACUGUGCCCCAACCCCGCCCCCACGAUCUCCCUCUGCCUGCUUUCUCCCUCGGGUGGGGAGCCUUAACUGAAGAACUUAGAGCAAGAAGGGUCCUUGGAGGUUGCCGAUCCUGCUGUUCACUGUCCGGUCCCGUUAAGAGAACUUGGCCGCAAACCCCGAGAAGCACUAUUGGGCUCUGCACUUACCGCUCAACAAACAGGACCGCCCACGGGGGAGCAAUGGGCCGAAAGCACAGGGCUAGAGGGCAACAGGGACUUGACCUGACACAGCCUUCUGGCCUCUCAGCUCUGGAGCGGGCAACGCCGAGUGGGCUGCUUUCCUGCCCCACCUGCCCCAGCCCCCGCUGCAAACAGUGGCCACAGCCAUCACGACGGAACUGAGAUAAACCCUUUUAUUUAUU